GCCAGUGUGGUGUAGUGGUUUGAGCACUGGACUACAACUCUGGAGACCAGGAUUCAAAUCCCUGCUCAGGCA